rnacentral:lncRNA from 1 species
ACGGAUUCAUGCCGGUUCGUUUGAAAUUGAAUUAGCGGUAUUGUGUAUUGAAAUGGUAGCCGAUAUGUAAUUGAAUUGACGGAAUCGUGUUGGCUCGUAUGAAAUUGAAUUAAAGGUAUUGUUUCUUGAAAUGGUUGCUGAUAUGUAAUUGAUUUCACUGUAUCGUAUGAAAUUAAAUUGACAGUUUAUGAAAGCUGGUAUGUAAUUGAAUUGACAGUAUUAUGUCUUGAAAUGGUGGCAAGAAAGUAAUGGAAUUGACGGAUUCAUGUCGGCUCAUAUGAAAUUGAAUUAGCG